rnacentral:rRNA from 1 species
GAUGAACGCUGGCGGCGUGCCUAAUACAUGCAAGUCGAGCGAACGGACGAUACUCUUGCUUCUCUGAUGUUAGCGGCGGACGUGUGAGUAACACGUGUAUCACCUCCUUAUCUUACUGGUAUCUUUUCGGAAAACGGGCUCUAAUCCGGUAUAAUCUUUUGCUCCGCGUUGUUCAUAAGUAAAUGUCGGUCUUUCUGUCUCUUCUCGCUGCUUCUGAGCUGCAUUAGCUGGUUGUUAAGGUAACGGCUUACCAAGGCAAGGAUGCAUAACCGACCUAAGAGGGUGGUAGGCCACACUGGAACUGAGACAGGGUCAAGACGACUAAGGGAGGCAGCAGUAGGGAAUCGGACGCAAUGGGCGAAAGCAUGACGGAGCAAGGGCGCGUGAGUGAUGAAGGUCUUCGGAUCGUAAAAAUCUGUUAUUAGGGAAGAACAUAUGUGGAAGGAAAUGUGCACAGAUUGACGGUACCUAAUCAGAAAGCAACGGCUAACUACGUG